UCGCAUGAACGAGGAAUUCCCAGUAAGCGCGAGUCAUAAGCUCGUGUUGAUUACGUCCCUGCCCUUUGUACACACCGCCCGUCGCUACUACCGAUUGAAUGAUUUAGUGAGGUCUUCGGACUGGUGCUCGAAACGACCUCCU
rnacentral:rRNA from 1 species